AUACGUAGGUGGCAAGCGUUAUCCGGAUUUAUUGGGCGUAAAGGGUGCGCAGGCGGUCUGUUUAGUCUGAGGUGAAAGCGUUGAGCUUGACUCAAUUAAGCCUCAGAUACUGGCAGACUUGAGUGCAGAAGAGGGUUAUGGAAUUCCAUGUGUAGCGGUAAAAUGCGUAGAUAUAUGGAGGAACACCAGCGGCGAAGGCGGUAACCUGGUCUGUUACUGACGCUCAGGCACGAAAGCGUGGGGAGCAAAUAGGAUUAGAUACCCUAGUAGUCCACGCCCUAAACGAUGAUUACUAAAUGUUGGGGAAACUCAGUGUUGCAGCUAACGCAAUAAAUAAUCCGCCUGGGGAGUAUGCACGCAAGUGUGAAACUUAAAGGAAUUGACGGGG
rnacentral:rRNA from 1 species